AUUGAACGCUGGCGGCAUGCCUUACACAUGCAAGUCGAGGGGUAGCAAGAUUGUAGCAAUACAAUUGUUGACGACCGGCAAACGGGUGCGGAACUCGUACACAACCUUCCUACAAGUGGGGAAUAACCCAGAUAAAUUUGGAUUAAUACCCCGUAACAUAGCGAUGUGGCAUCACAUUGCUAUUAUAGCUUCGGCGCUUGUUGAUGGGUGUGCGGCUGAUUAGAUAGUUGGCGGAGUAACGGCCCAUCAAGUCUACGAUCAGUAGCUGAUGUGAGAGCAGGAUGAGGCACACGGGCACUGCGACACGGGCCAAACGCCUACGCGGGGCAGCAGUAAGGAAUAUUGUGCCAUGUACGCAGUUCUGAUCCAGCCAUGACGCGUGAAGGAUUAAGGUCCUUUGGGUUGUAAACGUCUUUGAUCAGGGACGGAAAAAGGUCUUUCGAGGUCGUCUGACGGUACCUUAUGAAUAAGCACCGGCUAACUCCGUGCCAGCAGCCGCCGUAACAC
rnacentral:rRNA from 1 species